GGUGGUGAGGGCAAUGUGGCCGGUACAUCUGUCACCCACUGAUCGCCUGGGUUGGUUAGCUGAUCUGGCUGGCUAGAUGGGGGGGGGGCCCUCCCUGAAAUGCUGGGGCUGGGAACGACCGCCCCAAUAGAGGAGGAGGUUUCCACAGGCAAAGGUGUAUGUACCGUAACUGCACUCCCCUCCUAGACCCUCUGAACGAGCUGUCAGGGAUCCGGAUUGGAGUGACAGUCAUGCAAAAGCACAUCCUGCUGCACGGCCGGUCUCU
rnacentral:snRNA from 1 species